UUUGGAGCUAUUACUUCCCAUCUAUAUAGAGAUAUCAAAUAUUAUUAGUGAAUGCAACUGAAAUGAUAAAAGUUAAAAAUAUAUUUGGAUAGGUCAACUAUUUAGACCUUGAUAGCUCUUUUUAACUAUUAAUUUUCAAUUUUAAGCACUUGAAUAUGAGUAUUCUGUGUUACAGUUAAGAAUUGGAGUUCAAUCACCAAGCAAGACAAAGCUCUCAACAUGUGAUCUGCGCCUCGCUUCAAGCCUUAAGAGCACCUUUCGCAACACCUCUUGAAUGCUCUUUUGAUUACAAGAUUACAUGCAUAUGUACUUUUUCAUAUUAGACUUGGUUUUAUUUAGUUUUGAAGUUGCAUAAGAUUAUGGCUUCUUGACUAAUUUUACUGUAAUUGAUCUAUCAAGUUGUAUUUGCUAAAAUGAGUACCAUCGUGUGACAAAGCAUUUUGUUUGUUUGAGAAAAUUAUGGCCUAUUUAUACCUUAAUCAAGAGCUUUUGGUCACACUAUUUAUUGUGUUGAAAGCUGAAAAUUGAAAGAUCACAAGGGUGACAAGUGUAAAUAUUUUUCAGCCGCUUUACUUCAAGGCAUUUUCACUUUCAAAAAAUUACUUCUAACAGAUGAUAUACUUUUUGAUAAUGUUACUGUAUCUUUAGAUACAGUUGUGCUAAUUUUUGCAUCUCACUUUACUACUUACAUGAAGCAAUGACAAGAAAAUUCAGAAAUUCGUGAAGUAUUCUCACAAGUGAAAAGGCACAGAAUAUCAUCGUCAUUUUUAAAUUUAAGGAUUGAAUCUGAUGUUUUUCUUUAAAAACGUCGCAUAUUUGGAGUAAAAAAGAUUUGAUGGGUGGUUGCAGGAAAUUGUGGGGUGGUGGUGAUGAAUAUGAAAAGAAGAGGCCUGCCUUUGAUUUUCAAUCACCUGAAUUAGAAACUAUUCCUGUGAAAAUUUCUAAAAUUCGACAUAUGGUACUUGAGAAAGCAUUGAGAGAGUUGAAAAGCUUUCUUAUUAUCUUAGUUGCGUGGACUCUUCAUUUUGAUGCCGCAACCAUGUAGGAUUCUUCCAAAAACACUAAUUUUGGCGAAUUCGACAUGCACUCAUUGGCAUUUUUGAUGAGUCCGAGCAACAUAGCUUAUUAUGACUUAAUUUUUAUUUUUACAGCUUCAUCUUCUGACUUCUACGAGGAGAUGCAUUAAAGCAGAGGAUUUUUCAGGUUUGUAAAACAAAGUGGAUGAUAAGACGCAUGAUAAAUCUUCAGUAGCAUUAAGCAAACGCAUGGAUGAUUUUCCUAAGGGGUGAAGUCAUGCAAGUCACAAAAAGCUAAAGGCCACUUUUGUGAGGUCUCUGAUGAUAAUGGAAAGGUUGAUAGAAACGUUGGCUUCAAAAAGAGAUCUAUUAACAAGAUUUCUAAGAAUCAGGAUCUCUUGGGGGAGGCAACGGGGAGCACUAAAGGUUAUAAUACAACUUUAAGUGGUAGAAAAUGGGGCUAAAAGAUUAUCACAGAGAGUUGCUCACUAAUGCAUGUUUUGUUGUUUCUCCAUCAACGGUUAUUAUUUGUU